rnacentral:rRNA from 1 species
UACGUAGGGUGCGAGCGUUGUCCGGAAUUAUUGGGCGUAAAGAGCUCGUAGGCGGUCUGUCGCGUCGGUCGUGAAAACUUGGGGCUUAACCCUGAGCUUGCGGUCGAUACGGGCAUGACUAGAGUGUGGUAGGGGAGACUGGAAUUCCUGGUGUAGCGGUGAAAUGCGCAGAUAUCAGGAAGAACGCCCGUGGCGAAGGCGGCAUCCUGGCCCUGACCUGACGCUGAGGCGCGAGAGCGUGGGGAGCAAACCGG